rnacentral:rRNA from 1 species
GACGAACGCUGGCGGCGUGCUUAACACAUGCAAGUCGAACGGUAAGGCCCCUUCUGGUGUACACUAGUGGCGAACGGGUGAGUAACACGUGGGUGAUCUUCCCUGCACUUCGGGAUAAGCCUGGGAAACUGGGUCUAAUACCGGCUAGGACCACGCUCUGCAUGGAGUGUGGUCGAAAGCUUUUGCGGUGUGGGAUGGGCCCGCGGCCUAUCAGCUUGUUGGUGGGGUGAUGGCCUACCAAGGCGACGACGGGUAGCCGGCCUGAGAGGGUGUCCGGCCACAGUGGGACUGAGAUACGGCCCAGACGGCUACGGGAGGCAGGAGUGGGGAAUAUUGCACAACGGGCGCAAGCCGGAUGCAGCGACGCCGGGUGGGGGAGGACGGCCUGCGGGUUGGAAACGUCUUUCAGUACCGACGAAGCGUAAGGGACGGUAGGUAAAGAAGAAACACCGGCCAAUUACGU